rnacentral:rRNA from 1 species
UACAGAGGGUGCAAGCGUUGUUCGGAAUUAUUGGGCGUAAAGCGCGUGUAGGCGGCUUUGCAAGUCGGGUGUGAAAUCCCUCGGCCCAACCGAGGAACUGCGCCCGAGACUGCUUCUCUUGAGUCCCGGAGAGGAAGAUGGAAUUCCCGGUGUAGCGGUGAAAUGUGUAGAGAUCGGGAGGAACACCGGUGGCGAAGGCGGUCUUCUGGACGGUGACUGACGCUGAGGCGCGAAAGCGUGGGGAGCAAACGGG